rnacentral:misc_RNA from 1 species
CCCGCAUCUCCUGCAUUCAUCCCACCCACCACCACCCCCACACACACGCACUCCCACUCCCCCCUCCCCCAGGCCACCCCAAUCAUCACCAUGUCCGCCUACGUGUUGUCGACGCCGCUGGAGGCCCGCGUUGCGAAGUGCGCGAGCCUGCGCGCUGCGAACGCGGUGCCCGUUGUCGUGGAGGAGGCGCAGGCGCGCGGCGGCAAGGCACACUUCAGCGCGCUGGCGCGCGAGACGACGGUUGCGCAGCUUGUGGCCGCGGUGCGCGGCUUCCGCGGCGUGGACGCGAAGAAGCCGGUGGCGCUGACGGUUGCCGGCUGCAGCGUGUCGCCGUCGGCGACGCUCGGCGAGCUGCACGACGCGUGCAGGCGAGCGGACGACGGCAUGCUGUACGUCGCCUACACCGCGGAGCGCUGCAUGGGCGCUGCGGUGUGCACGCCGUGCGGCUCGUGCGCGUACAAUUGAUUUCUUUGUUGCCGCUUGAUAUUUUCUUGUGAGGUGCGUGAUGGGUCGGGUGUGGUGGGAGAUUGCUGCUAGCACUCGGAACUCUGGGUGCAGGCUCGCGCUUUCUGCUUCUCGGCUCUUAUGCUUGGCUCUGUUCUAGAUUGCGCUGUUGCUGGAAGAAUGCCGGUUGUGUGGUUGUAUGCCGCUCCUGCAUGCGCUGAACUGUGGUGGAAGAUAUCGAGCUUUCCAUGCCGACGUCUGUGGUCCCCUCGCGUAGAGUUGCCGUGGCGCUGGCGCUGCCCCGUACUGCGUGCUGGGGGCUGCCGGUCUGUCUUAAAUGGAUUGCCGACUCAAACAUACCUAUAUAUACAUAUAUAGGUGUGUUUGUUUCUCUAGGAGGCCAUGAACAGGGAAGCCCCCCUCCGCCUCAGCGGUCGAGUCCUGGUGUGCAUGGACGCGUCGAGUCCUUCAUUCGAUAAUCUGCUCCCCGGCCGUCGCGGUGAUUGUAUUUCUUGCUGCCCCCCUCCCCGGUGUGCCGUUGCCUUCUGUCCCUGUCCCUUUCCCCUUAACGAAGCGCACCGUUGCUUUCGUGCGCGUCUCGCGGCAUGUCGCACCCGUUGUCCUAUGGUCGUCUGCCUUUCAGCUUGGCCGGCGCCGCCGGCCGCCGUGCGGCGCGGUGCGCCCGCACUGCCGACGUUAACGCUUGCGGUUGUGCGUGUCAUUGUGCAGCACCUUGACGGUUGUCUGCUUAGGGGCUUUAUUCCUGCGCCUCUUCUCCCCUUGCAUGUGGUGGUCUACCCUUGUGGUCUGCUGAAGCUGUGUGUGUCUACUUCCCCCCCCUCCUCCUCUGUACGUUGCUCGUCCCGAAUGGGUGGGUCAUCGCCCCCCACCCCUUGGUAG